CUGUGUUUGAAGUGCCAUGUGGAAGGUUCUGGUUUAGUGUUAAUCCUGGAGGAUUCUUCCACUGGCCCUGUUUGUCCGCAGCCAGGUUUCUUGUCUCUGGCACUCCAGGUCAACCUAAAACAUGGCAGAGUAUUUACAGUGAUCAAGCUAAAGGAGCUCUCAAAUUUCCAUGUAAAUGGAACGGAAGACUGGAACUUUCCUACCUAUACUUUGGGUGGUACAAAAUGCCCACAUUCCUGUAGUCCCGCUUCUGCAGACCAAGGCAAACAGAUUGUCCUUUGAAUGUCUCAAAAGCUCUUUAUUUUUUUUCUUGUAAUGCCAAAUGCAAUAUUUGUUUGAAAAGACUACACCAGAAGUUUCCCAGCUGAGAAAACAGGCUUGUGAAAAAUGGUUUCAGAAAAUGAAAUAAACCAUGCAAAAGUUGUUCAGGGUGUGUUUGAAAUGAACAUCUGGAUAUGAACUGCUAAAUUACCUCCUUCCUCCUCCUCCUCUUUCUCACAGCUGUUUGAAAGAGUCCUGAGGGCAGGGAAACAGGUCAAUGGACCAAAUUGCACCUUUCCCCCACUUCUGAUCCCUUUUGCACCUAUGCAAGGAAUCUAUUGCACAUGUGUGUUUAAUAAGUGGGCACAAAUACAAGACAAAAAUUAUCUCAAUUCCUGUUGACUCUCUACAGCAAUACCAAAGGAAAAUAAACUCUGGAUUUUAAAAUUUCUCAAACAAAACUUAUGGUUCCAAUAAAAUAUCACUUUUCAGUUGACUUUUUUAUAUCAAGAGCUGAACAGACCACUCAUUUCUCUUCAUUUCUUCAGAAAGAAGGAAUGAUUAUUACGUCACACUUUCCCCAAAGUCAAGAAAGUCCAGUUCCCAAAGCCCUGCCUUUUAACUCAUGAUGGAGGCACACGAGAAGUUCUGCAUGUUCGUGCCGUCACGCAGCCCCCUCCAUAGCCACCUCUUCGACACACGCAUCUAAAGAAGUACGUUGGGAAAGAACAAGUUGACGUUUGUCGAUCUUCACGAGACUAUCAGUGGCCACAACUAACGCAGAAAAUAUGAAAUAAUUGCCUCAUGUUAGAAGAACGUGUAGGCGAGUCUUUGGGGAGACAUGAUAGAUGUUUUCACGUAAGAGGAGGCUGGCUGGUGAACUCUGUACUGUCAGAGGCCAAAACGGGCCUGAUGAGAAAAGGAGACGCCAUACGGAAGCAGGUUUUAUCCUCUGUUUCAAAUGUCUGUUUCUGCUACAGCCUCUCCUCCUUUCUAGGAUAGGAGAGGAGACUCGCUCACCCUUGGAUCCUGGUGCUGUGCGGUCAACUGUAUACAGUGCAUUAUAGGUGCUCCUGUGAUGGACGAACGCCUAACCGACUGAAUGCAAUUCCUAGUUUAGGUUUUCCAGAAGAAACAGGAGAAAACUCCCUUAUGAAUACACGGAUGAAUAUUUGCAGGGCAAGUUGGAGAAGGCGUUGGGAGCACACUUCUGAGAUCAGAUGGACUCCAAGGCUCUCCCAUGGUUUGGAGUCUGAAAUUCUAUGUUCUCCUUCUGUAUUGUUUAGAAGGAGAUGUCCAUCCACAUGCCAGGGCUCAAUCUCAGCCAUCCUCCUUUCUUAUAUCCCCUAGGCUCUACUCGACACUGAGCUGGUUCUUGGCUAGGACCACUGUAGAAGGAGUCUUUGAACUUGACUCAAAGCUGCAUGCCUCUAAUCUAGGCAUCUCUUUCCAGCUGAUUUUAUUUUGUUUCGACCUCUUGUUCUGUACCAAGAAAACUGUGCAUAGUAGUGGAUACCUACUGGGAAGCUGUUAAAUUGCAUGGCAAAGAGAAAUUACCCAGCCCAGGAGAUCAGAGAAGGCUUCCCUGAAGAAGCAGUGUUUGAGGCAAACAAAAGCAAUGUAGAUGAAGAAAGCAUCCAGGAAAAGGGGCUUGGAGUACAAAAGAUCAUGAAUGAUACCGCACUGAGCAGGGGUACUAUAAGCAGCUGUGGCUGGAGAAUAGAACACCAGGGAGAGAAUGUGUGAUGGGAAGUAGGGAGCGGAGGCCAUGGUGGGGAGUCUGUGUAAGUUCCCCUAACUCGCACUUGACAAUAAUGCAGCCCAAAUGGAUGGCAUUUACUUCUCAGGUCAAUGCCAUUCAUCAGGCUGUUCCGUCUGCAUAGUACCCUUCUAAUUUCUACCUGUUUAACAUUUUCUCUCUCCUCGAAAGCAACCCUAAUGCUCCCUUCUCCGGGAGCCUUUGAUGAUUUCCUCCAGUGGACACACUUCCCCCCAUGGGUGUUUGUACCUCUCAGAGCACUUCCACAUUCUGCCUCUCUGCUGGCUGGACUUGUGACAUUCCAUCCCAGACACCUUGAGCUUCAUGACAGCAGGGGGUAACUCCUACCGCUCUUCCUGCCCCGUUCGACUCAGUAAAUAUUUGUUGAUGAGCUGCGGACAACAUUCUGCUCAAAAUAGAGUGUUAGUCAGGAGGCGCGCGGGCCAGGCUUCUUAGGUUAGAAUCUGGACACUGUGACCUGUUCGAUGUGGAAUCUUGGGCAAGUUGCUUCAUUUCUUCCAGUGUCAUUUUCUUCAACUGCAAAGUAGGGGUGGUGACAACACCUAUCCCCUAGGAAUUGCAGGAGCAUUAAAAAUAACAUUUGCGAAUAACUUGGCCAAAUGCUCAGAUAUGUUAGUCAUGAUAAAAUCCCGAGGAAAGACUACAGAGACUGACUUGUCAAGCCUGAUUCACGCUCAUUUUUUUUUCCAGUUAAGUCAACACCUUCAGAGGAUUUUGUAUGUCUUAUGUCCCAUUCUAGUGUCUGUGUCCUCAGCCAGCCUACAAGAAUUCAAAUUGGGAACUGACAUCAAACAUUACAUUAGUUAGUUGCAGGUGUACAAUAUAAAGGCUUGAUAUUUGUAUAUACUGCAAAAUGAUCACCACAGUAAGACUAGUUAACAUUCAUGGCAAUAGUUACAGAUUUUUUUUCCUUGUGACGAGGACAUUUAAGAUCUCCUUUUUUUAGCAACCUUCAAAUAUGCAAUAUAGUAUUACUAACGGAAGUCACCAUGCUGUACAUUAUAUCCCCGGGACUUACACAGUUUCUAACUGGAAGUUUAUACCCUUUGAUGAUCUCACUUGUAUGUGGAAUCCUAAAAAGAAAAAUCUGAGCUCAUACAGAGACCAGACAGAGACACAGAGCCUAGGUUGUGAUUCCUCACGUGCAUGUACAAACAAAAGUUGAGCUAAAGGAACAAGCUGAGUGAAACCCCGGGCACACGAGGGUAAGGGAUGCUUGAGAAAUGGUGAAAAGCACUUCUUACUUGAGCCCCCGUUCUGCCUCCUGGUCUGUAUUCCCUGUCGCCAUCUGAAACUGGGUCUUCCGCAAGUGACUGGUUUGCCCCCAGUGGAUUGUAUCCCAUCCAGUCUCUCAUUGUAGUGUACCUAGGUGUAUAAAUUACACAGUGACUAUGUAAUGUGUAACUAGGACACUUUUGCGGGGGGUAGGGGGGAUAGGCGGAGGGUGCUCUGUUAAACUUUACACUGGGACCGCAGAUGUGAAUUGGGACAGUCACGGGCAGUUCAAGCUGUGCAAUCGUCUAAGUUAGAACCAGCAAUCAUGCUGACUUGGGUCACACAGCCUUCUGCGUCUUUCAAGUUCAAACCUCUAGCUCCCAACCAAAAAAGAGUAAAGGUUUUUUUUGAUCCACUUUAUUUUUAAUUGUAUCAGAACAUUUUCAAGUCAGUGUUGCACAUAGGUUUCCUGGAAGGCUAUGUCAAUAUAUUGUGAAACAUCUGGAUCUUUGCAUAUUCGGAUGUUGGACUAUAAUGAGCAGUUUUCAUCCCAAAUCUUUAGAGUCAUGUAGAUAAACCGAUUGGUUUCGAUUCAGGGAACUUAACUGCCAGCUUCAAUUAGCCUGGGUUCUUUAAUAUAUUCUUUUUUCUAACAUAGUAGGCAACUUCAAUAAAUUAUUAUUUAUAGAGUACUUAUUAAAAUGCUACAGGGAAAUCGUUCCUGGAAACAUCUCGCUGUGUAACUGUAAAUGAUCAAGCCCUUACUUGCUGAUUGAGUGUUUGAGGACUGAAGUCAGAUCAUAGGAUCACAGCUACUCAUGCCUGAAGACCUCAGACAGCACCCACGCCAACUCUGCAUCCAAUCCCUGAACCCCUUCGACAACAUCACUGCUAGAUAGGUGCCCAGGAAAUAUUUGAUGUCUUGGUGAUGGAGGGAUGCAUUCCUGCUCAAAGUAGCCCUUUCCAUUGCUGGGUGGCUUUGCCAGAUACAAAAUCUUGCCUGGUUUUAAGUGGAAAUCAGCUUCCCAAAUUUCCAUGCACUGAGCCCCAUUCUCUAGUAGGAACUCCAUUCUCUGACAAAACGAAUCUCCUUCAGCCCCUUUCUGUUCUCCCAUCAUGAGAGGUAGUGCAGACCUGCAUCAUCUGAGCCAGUAAGAAACAAGCACAGCCCAUGAAGUGAAAGACAGUACAGCAAAGUGGUUUAUCCCAUCCACUAGGGCCAAGAUGCUUGAGUUUGAAUCCUGGCUCCACCUGUAACAAGGCGAGGCAUUUAACCUCAAGGAAUCUUAGUUUUCCCACAUGUCCAAUGGGAGAUGUUCCUGGGUAUCUUCUUGAGGCAUUCUUGAAAGAUUAUAGGAGGUGGUGUAGGUAAAGUCCUUAGAAUAGUGUCUCCUGUCACAUAGUAAACACUUCAUAGACUAUUAUCAUAUAGAAUCCCAGCAAAUAGAGUCUGGAAACCAUCCUUCAGUUGUAAAAUCACUGCUCGGUGGGUCAGAAGUUAGUACUGGACACUUUGUGACCUAAGAUGCAGCCUCCUCAGCAAACUCCACCAAGCAUUCCUAGUUCUUUGGAUUGAAUGAUACAUUACUUUUUGGAGGGGAUAAAUCCUGGCAAUUAAGAGUCAGGGCCUGGGAAAUUGUAUUCGGCACUGGAUAUACAUUCAGUUGAUGGGACAGGUUUGUUUAUUUUUUAAUAGAGAAAUACUGAGGGUUCAGAAAUGGAUAUUUUCCCAUGAAAAUGAGAAAUACUGAGGGUUCAGAAAUGGAUAUUUUCCCAAAGCUCCUCAUGAAAUGUGAAUGUGCACUCAGAUUAAGAACAACAGACUUAACGUGAGUCUCUGUGGGUCAGGAUCUGGGUUCCUUCAGUAGCCAGCUGCACAACUGUGGGGAAGUUUCUUCAUUUCUUCAGGCCUCUGUUUCCACAUCUGUAAAAUGGAGAUAAAAAUAAAAGUUCCUUCCUCAUAAAGCUGUAAUGACCCUUAAAGGAACUAGCACGUAUGGAGAGAAGGGUGCUCAUUGGGUAUUUAUUCUGUUUGUUUCACUGUAAUAAGUAUCUUCCAUUCUUAAUUCUUAGCCAUCUCCAUCUAUCACCUUUGCCUCAACCUUUUGGCAGGUGUCAAAGAGUACCGAGCACCCUCUUGGCUAUAGGUACAACCCAAGGUCCAAGACUAGGAUCUAUCAAGAAACCCUUUCCUAGCCAGGGUGCACUUCAGGCUGAUGGUGGCCCGGUUUUCUUUGAGUAAUUAAGAAUGAUUUGCAUUUAUACAGCACUGGAAUAGACCUGGGUCCCUAGUGGCAAAGCAAUUAGGAGAGAUGACAGCAUGAUUAUUGUCUUAGGCUAUGGCUUACAUCAGCAUUAGAAUCAUCUGGGUGGUAUCUGUCACUUAAGGAUCUGCUUCAGGAUUGGCAGAAGGGCUCCACAUACCUGCUGCUCACACUGUGGGACCCAAACCAGCAGCAUGGGCAUCACCCGUGAACUUGUUAGGUCUACAGACUCACUGGUCUCACCUUAGACCCACCAAAUCAGAAAGGGUCUAGUUCACUGAAUCCCCAGGUGGUCAAUGUGCCCAUUAAGGUUCGGAAGCAUGAUUCUUCAUCAGCAUUGAGAGGAAUUCAUACCCAAAGUUUGUGACAUGUUCCAGAAACCUUCAUUCUACCACCCACCAAAAAUGAGGCCUAGAUAAAGCUCUUCACAGCCCUUGAAUCACAGCCCCUCUAAGUUAGCAGCUCUCUCCAUCUCCCCACCAUCCUGUACCACUGGUUUAGCACUUAUAUAAAUGCCUUCUUUGAGUUAUUUUCUGGUUUGGAUUUUCUACCUGAUCCUUGGUCCUUGUUGAGAAACGGCAAUAUUUGUCAUAAUGGAGGCCCCCCUAAGACCUGUUCACUAUUCUAGACAUAGAAAGAAAAUGUGCUGUUAGUUAUUCCAGCUUCUAUCACUGAUUGGUAUCUCUUUCCUAUGCUGUUCCACUCUGGGGAAUGCCAUCUUCAGGAAGGGUUUGGAGCCGGAAUUCAUACAGAAAUGGAGAAGUCUGGCCUCAGGACUCCAUGAAAUGACUGAUCAUCCCCAUGUUGCAGAUGAGGAAGUGGAGGCCCAGAGACAGCGUCCUGUCCAAGCUGUUAAGCACUGUGUCACACUGCCCCCUGCUGAGCACCUACUAAGUGCCAGGCUCUUAGAAAAACGAUGGUGUUUAAGACCUCCCCAGGGAGGAGCUUCUAUUCUGGUAAGGUAAGUUCACGGAUGUGUGUGUCUUCCCUAGCAAACUAAAGGAGGAGAAGCCCCAAGGUAGGAAUUUCUGCCUUUUGUCAAAAACACGGUCACUCGCCUACAAGCCACAUCCCUCUGGCAUUCACGUGCACAGAUUCGGGGCCUGCCCCUGCCUUCUCUCUAAACUUUUUGUUCAGAAACUGAAAGGACAAUUUUGGGUUGUUUCUGCUCCCUGGUUUUAGGUUGCCUAAGGGCAGGUAAGUUAAGUAAGAAGAGUUUCACCAUGCAUCCACCGGGCAACCCACCCCCAUUAGCCUUUGAUUUCAGGGUCUCAGACACACAGGAGGGGAGGGCAGCCCCACACUGCUCUCCUUUUUCUAAGGCUCUUUAUUUGCCGCGAGCGGCUUCUUGUGUUUACCUGUCUGGGCAUUGUGCUGAGGACUGUGAGAAUGACACUCCUCAAGCCAGCUCUGAGAUGGAAACAGACUCACCACGGCAGCUAAAGAAAGAACGUGUAUGCAAAAUGAUCUCUUCCAGCACGUACUGCUUUUGCCCAGGCGUUGCACAUAAGCAUGGAAGAAUUUUACUGCUCCUGUUACCCAGAAGAGCUUGAGAUUUGAAACUGGGAACCUUUCCAGAGCUUACAUGGAACGGAGCAUACAGAUCAGUACUGAAAACAUAAAUCACUCUUCAACCCUU